rnacentral:rRNA from 1 species
AUUGAACGCUGGCGGCAUGCUUUACACAUGCAAGUCGAACGGCAGCGCGGGCUUCGGCCUGGCGGCGAGUUGCGAACGGGUGAGUAAUACAUCGGAACGUGCCCAGUAGUUGGGGAUAGCUCGGCUAAAGCCGGAUUAAUACCGCAUACGACCUGAUGGUGAAAGCGGGGGAUCUUCGGACCUCGCGCUAUUUGAGCGGCCGAUGGCAGAUUAGCUAGUUGGUGGGGUAAAGGCCUACCAAGGCGACGAUCUGUAGCUGGUCUGAGAGGACGACCAGCCACACUGGGACUGAGACACGGCCCAGACUCCUACGGGAGGCAGCAGUGGGGAAUUUUGGACAAUGGGCGAAAGCCUGAUCCAGCAAUGCCGCGUGUGUGAUGAAGGCCUUCGGGUUGUAAAGCACUUUUGGCGGGAACGAAAAGGACUGUGCCAAUACCACGGUUCGAUGACGGUACCCGCAGAAUAAGCACCGGCUAACUACGUG